UUCCUAACAGGGAGAAAGAGUUGAAAACCAAGGCCUUGCAGUGGAGGGAGGUUGGGAAGAGAGCUCUAACAAGGGGUUAAACCCCAAGGAGCACCUGGAGGAGAAAUUUUUUAAGGGAGACGAAUUGAACUGCAUCAACCCAAACUUUCAUAUUUGAAAAUUGUUCCUUGCUCAUUUAUGGUUCAAACUAGUAUCAGACAUCAUUUCCAUCCUAUACUUCAGACAUUUCUCAGGACAUGGCACCACUACCAGUGAUCAGUUGGAUAUACGUCUUAGGAAUUCCCUUGAUAAAAGCCUUGAAGAAGUGAGACUCUUCUUCUAAAUGAUCCACUAUUAAACAGUAAGAUACAAUUUGAGAAAGUCUUCAUCCAUGUUCCAACAAGCCCCCCAGAUGAUUCCAAAGAGAACCACCACCAGCGGGAACCACUGUGUGAAGCAGUCUCCCCAUUUUAUAGCAUUAUCUUUCCAGGCCCUAUUUGCACUUGCCUUGGAUCUGCAGCCUUUCCAAAAGUUGGGAAAAUCUUGCAAAGAAGAAAUACGGCAUCUGAUUCUGAGAAUUUCACUCCCUCUACACUCUUCCAGCUGCUGCACAUACAUGUGCUGCUUGAGUUUAUUUAAUAAGAAAGCUCAAAAUGUUUCCCAGUUCAGAACAUAACCCCACAUGCUCUUCUCUGUAGCCUAACCAGGAAUCCCAUUCUCCUCCUCCUCUAACUCAAUAAACCAAAUCUAAUUGGAAAAUAA